rnacentral:lncRNA from 1 species
ACACUUCUCCGUACAUGAUGGAUACACACGCACGGAGUGAGCUUUUCUCUGCGGUUCUGGUGACCUGCGCACAGGGUCUCUGUUCCAUGAUGUUGCCAACGAGCAAGGUAAAUCCUCUACGCUUGGUCACUUUGACUCUGUAUUUAUGGUAUGGUCACUUGGAUUUAUGCGUCUGAGCUUCUCAUUUUUGUCUUUGACUGAUCUUUCGUAUCUAAACCACUGUACAUCAAUUUCGCUGGAUUCUUUGAUAGAAUUAUGUAUUUAUGCUUGUUUCAUGGUUUUCCUUUUCUCAAUAAUUUGAACCUCCAUUACAGACGUGGAGACCGAUCAUGAGCCUCUCCUUUGACAUCAAAUUGUGUUCCAUCGAAAAAGCUUGGGUAUUCUUAAUCCAUCAAUUUUUGGAUGAUUGUCAAAAUCCCAUGAUAUGAUUUAGAACCUGACAUUAUAUUUUAUUGUAUGAUACAACUGUCUAAUACUCAUAAUGUGAGGGACACAGGAAGAGUAUUGGUCGCCGGCGAUGAAAGCAUUGGUUGGGGGGAGGCAUCGAUGUGAUAUUGAUGCCAAGGUGGGCUUUCCCAAUCUUGCUCUUUUUGUUGGGCGAUUCUGAUGCGGGUUCUUGAUUUAAUAUGUGAGUUGGGUAGUCUCGCGUCUACUCAUGUGAUCUUACUUUAUCAGAUUCUUCUUAGUUUAUGUUUUUGAUUCAAUCGUGCAUUUGUGGUACUUGAAGCGAUUGGUUAUUCCGCUUUAGUGUUGUGGAUCUGAUAGUCUGAACUUAAAAGUGAGGAGUUUUUUAAUGCAAACUUAUCAUCUAAAGAUACUUUGGUUUUAAUGUGGCCCCUGACUGAUGAACUCUUGGUCCGCAAAUUAGAGUUAUUUAGCAGUUGAUUACAAGUCAUUAGUAGUGUAGUCUGUAGUGUAGUGUAGUGUUUUAACUUGAUGCUGUUGGUUUCCACAAAAAAAAGAUGGAAAACUAGCGAACAGGUCGGUCUCAGUACUAUUGAGCUGCUCGCAUGCAGUUUUGUGUGUGACAGUGGUAGUGCAAAGCCAGCAUCGUUUUUGUUUGGCACUAUAAAACAAUGAUAUCUUG